rnacentral:rRNA from 1 species
CGUGAGGGAAAGGUGAAAAGAACCCCGGGAGGGGAGUGAAAGAGAACCUGAAACCGUGUGCUUACAAGCAGUCGGAGCACGUUAAAGUGUGACGGCGUACUUUUUGUAGAACGGUCCGGCGAGUGUAUGUAUGUAGCAAGGUUAAGAGCUUAAGGUUCGAAGCCGCAGGGAGACCGAGUCUGAAUAGGGCGAAAGAGUUGCAUGUAUACGACCCGAAACCGAGUGACCUACCCAUGGACAGGUUGAAGCUAGAGUAAAAUCUGGUGGAGGACCGAACCCACGUAUGUUGAAAAAUGCGGGGAUGAGCUGUGGGUAGCGGAGAAAUUCCAAUCGAACUCGGAUAUAGCUGGUUCUCCCCGAAAUAGCUUUAGGGCUAGCCUCGGAUUAGUUUAGCGGAGGUAAAGCACUGAAUGGGCUAGGGGGCGUAUAGCUUACUGAACCCUAUCAAACUCAGAAUGCCGCAAAAAUGAUGUCCGGGAGUCAGACUACGGGAGAUAAGUUUCGUGGUCGAAAGGGAAACAGCCCAGACCCACAGCUAAGGUCCCAAAAUAGGUUUAAGUGGAAAAGGAUGUCUAGUUGCAGAGACAACUAGGACGUUGGCUUAGAAGCAGCCAUACAUUUAAAGAGUGCGUAAUAGCUCACUAGUCGAGUGAAUAGGCGCCGAAAAUUUAACGGGGCUAAAACCUAUACCGAAGCUUGGGAAUUUGCAUAACUAUUAGAACACAUAUGAGAAAGAGAAAGAAAACCGGCUGCGAAGCAGACGGGAAAUUGAAGUAAGGAAAAAAGGAAUGUGUGAUCUAAUAGUUAUGCAAGUUGGUAGGGGAGCAUUCUAUUAUAGGGAGAAGCAUGACCGGAAGGACAUGUGGACGAGAUAGAAGAGAGAAUGCCGGAAUGAGUAGCGAGAAUUAUGUGAGAAUCAUAAUGGUCGAAAACCUAAGGUUUCUUGAGGAAGGUUCGUCCGCUCAAGGUAAGCCGGGAGCUAAGGCGAGGCCGAAAGGCGUAGUCGAUGCACAUACGGUAGAAAUUCCGUAGCCACCGAAAUUGUUAAGCACAGGGACGCAGGAACAUAAUCCAACCGCACCGAUGGUCGAGUGCGGCGAAAGGGAGCGAAAAUUAAGUAGCGAAGUGGAUGAUUGUACACUGACGAGAAAAGCUGUGUGUAUUGAUGAGGUGCCCGUACCGUAAACCGACACAGGUGGGUGAGGAGAGAAUCCUAAGACCAGCGGGAGAAGUGUUGUUAAGGAACUCGGCAAAUUGACCCCGUAACUUCGGGAAAAGGGGUGCCUGCUAGCGCAGGCCGCAGAGAAUAGGCCCAAGCGACUGUUUAGCAAAAACACAGGUCUCUGCUAAAUCGAAAGAUGAAGUAUAGGGGCUGACGCCUGCCCGGUGCCGGAAGGUUAAGAGGAGGACUUAGCGCAAGCGAAGGUCUGAAUUGAAGCCCCGGUAAACGGCGGCCGUAACUAUAACGGUCCUAAGGUAGCGAAAUUCCUUGUCAGGUAAGUUCUGACCCGCACGAAUGGCGUAACGAUUUGGGCACUGUCUCAACAACACACCCGGUGAAAUUGUAGUACCGGUGAAGAUGCCGGUUACCCGCGACUAGACGGAAAGACCCCAUGGAGCUUUACUGUAACUUGAUAUUGGAUUUUGGUAUUGCAUGUACAGGAUAGGUGGGAGACAGAGAAGCACAGACGCCAGUUUGUGUGGAGUCAAUGUUGGGAUACCACUCUUGUGAUACUGGAAUUCUAACCUGCGGCCGUGAAACCGGUCGGGGGACAAUGUCUGGUGGACAGUUUGACUGGGGCGGUCGCCUCCUAAAGAGUAACGGAGGCGUUCAAAGGUUAGCUCAGUACGGUCAGAAAUCGUACGAAGAGUGCAAACGCAAAAGCAAGCCUAACUGCGAGACGAACAGGUCGAGCAGUAACGAAAGUUGGAGUUAGUGAUCCGGCGGUAAGAGAGUGGAAUUGCCGUCGCUCAACGGAUAAAAGCUACCCUGGGGAUAACAGGCU